CUUAGAGUUUUGAUCAUGGCUCAGGACGAACGCUGGCGGCGUGCCUAAUACAUGCAAGUCGAGCGGACAGAAGGGAGCUUGCUCCCGGAUGUUAGCGGCGGACGGGUGAGUAACACGUGGGUAACCUGCCUGUAAGACUGGGAUAACUCCGGGAAACCGGAGCUAAUACCGGAUAGUUCCUUGAACCGCAUGGUUCAAGGAUGAAAGACGGUUUCGGCUGUCACUUACAGAUGGACCCGCGGCGCAUUAGCUAGUUGGUGAGGUAACGGCUCACCAAGGCGACGAUGCGUAGCCGACCUGAGAGGGUGAUCGGCCACACUGGGACUGAGACACGGCCCAGACUCCUACGGGAGGCAGCAGUAGGGAAUCUUCCGCAAUGGACGAAAGUCUGACGGAGCAACGCCGCGUGAGUGAUGAAGGUUUUCGGAUCGUAAAGCUCUGUUGUUAGGGAAGAACAAGUGCAAGAGUAACUGCUUGCCCCUUGACCGUACCUACCGAAGCCGA
rnacentral:rRNA from 1 species